CUUCAGCGAGCCCAGCCACAGCGGCCGGCCUUCCGCCCGUUCCUGGCCGUAUGUGUUGAUCAGCGCCUGGGCCUC
rnacentral:antisense_RNA from 1 species